UUUUUUUUCCCUAUAC
rnacentral:sRNA from 1 species